UACGGAGGGUGCUAACGUUGUCCGGAAUUAUUGGGCGUAAAGAGCAUGUAGGUGGACCAGCCAGUGGGUAAUUAAAUAUCGACGCUUAACGUCGGGAAUGUGACCCAUACUACUGGUCUUGAGGAUAGCAGGGGUAAGCGGAACUUUAGGUGUAGGAGUGAAAUCCGUAGAUAUCUAAAGGAACACCAAUGGCGAAGGCAGCUUACUGGGCUAUUUCUGACACUGAGAUGCGAAAGCGUGGGGAGCGAACGGG
rnacentral:rRNA from 1 species